rnacentral:rRNA from 1 species
UACGGGGGGGGCAAGCGUUGUUCGGAAUUACUGGGCGUAAAGGGUUCGUAGGUGGCCACCUAAGUCAGACGUGAAAUCCCUCAGCUUAACUGGGGAACUGCGUCUGAUACUGGGUGGCUUGAGUGCAGGAGAGGAAUGCGGAAUUCCAGGUGUAGCGGUGAAAUGCGCAGAUAUCAGGAAGAACACCAAUGGCGAAGGCAGCUCUCUGGGACGGUACUGACGCUGAGACGCGAAAGCGUGGGGAGCGAACAGG